AAGACAGGAAGACAAAUCAGAACUGAUCUCAGAAGUGGGGCGCUGGCGUGCAUGAAGUAGAAGCGUUCAUAUCUCGGACACAAAUUUUGAAAUCUUAAUUUACCGUUUCACAAGUUCAACCCUCAAAAAAAAUACACAUUGUUUAGUAUAUUCCCGAGGCACAACUAGCAGUGAAAUAUGGCAGCGAAAACCCAACAGACCAGCUAACGCAAAGUUGACAAAGGCCCAGCAAGCAGAAGCUAGUGCCAUUGAGUACUGACUACAACUCUCCAGAUACCCAGCAACAAGAUCCUGACACUAUUCUUUAAAUUUGAUUUACAGAUCGCCUGGGGCACAAUACUCAAACAUAUUUUACAAGCAAAGCAUGCGUUUAGUGAGUCCGCCAGAUCAGAUGCAGUAGGUAUGACCAGGGAUUCUUUAAAAUCCAUGAAUCAGACCAUUUCCUCUCCUGCUAAGCAUUCAAAAAUGUAACGAGUACUUUGGGUGUCAAGUACAAUAUUUUCUUCAGGAAUGUAGUGGAGUAAAUAUAAAAUGACAGAUUCCCCCAAAAAACUACUUAAGUAGUACUUUAAACUAUUUUUUUUUUUUACAACACUGCUCAUCAGGUGCCAAGCCACACACACCAUAAUUACAAGGGUAAAUCACUUUCAGGAAGAGGAGCUCAUUAUACAACAGGGAGCAAUGGAAUACAAAAAGGUCAAAAGUUUCUCAUCUUCCCCAACUACACCAUGGAGGUGAUUGAGCAACGGCACGCAUUCUGCUACUUGACUCCCUGCUGUGAUGCAGACCAUGAGAGGCAGAGGUGAAAUUACAAGCCUGCAUUUAAAUCACAACGCCAUGACAGGAGCCUUCACCAAGCUCGAAGAUGUUGCAAGCUACGUGUCAAAACUACAGCAAAUCCCCUGGCCACAAAUGUCUGGAAUGUUGACUGAGCAAACAGUGGAUUUUAUGUUUAUUCAUAAAAGACAAGACAAGUAUACAAAUAAAAAUGGCCAACAACCGCAGAGAGGGCUGUUAAGUCCGACUGUUGCUAGCGUAGUAUUGGUCUGUUCUAGCCAUCAUGCACAGCAGUCCUCGUUUUAUGUGAGAUGGGGAGAACAAUGCUUCAUUUGGAGAAGUAGUGGGGAGGGUGGGUUUCUCUGGCGUCCGUUACUGUGUUUUGUCGUUUUCUGCUGCCAGACUGCGGCAUCAGAUCCAACUGGAUUUCUCAAGUUUAUCAAUCACCCUUAUCUUCCAAGGCAAGAGGUGUUGCUAUUCUCUUUUGUAAAAACAGCUAUUUUUAACUCUUGUCCACAGACCCAGACGGACUAAAUCCAGCAGAUUCCUCAAGACGUGGUGUCAGUCUGACUGAAUACUGACUAGGAACGCUUAGUUGUUGCCUCAACUUGUGAAAAAAGGCUAUCACAUCUGGAAGGACGUUUGAGACCGAUCCCAGAACAGCUAACUACACCGUGCAGGGAGAAUGGUUUACAUAGAACCUCAACCUUAAGGAGGCAGCCAAAAGCCAUACUGCAGAAAAAAAGAAAAUCCAGUUACCUUUAUAUUCAAUGCUCUUGUGAUCUGUAGGUUUGUCAGCAUCAGAUCCUUUCCUUCCUUUAGAGCUAGCGAUGACAGCCACUGGAAAGAUAAGUACAUGUAAGAGAGGGGUUGCUGUGUGGGGAGGCCUGUUGGGGUUUGUUGGAGGUGAGACGUGUCAGUUAACAAUGGGAGGAGGUGAGCGAGUGGGAAUCAGUAGGUGGGACUGUGUGUAAUAUAUAUAUAUAUAAAAUGGAAAUUGAAUUUAAACCGAAGGCAAUAUUCACCCAAGUUUUAAAUUACGAAAUACAAUUUAGGAAUUCAAAUGAUUAAAUGUGUGCAUUAGAAAAUAAAACAUGGGAUUAAAAUAUAAUCUGUUGGCAAUGAAAUUGGUCCAGACACUGUUAAACUAGGUGUCAAGUUUGUUUAAUAAAAUGUGCAAUAAGCAUUUAACACAAUAAGGUAGGCCACUUGAUUUCAACAUCUGAACAAAGUGGACAGGCUAGCAUGCUGUUUAAACGGUUGAAG